AUUGAACGCUGGCGGCAGGCCUAACACAUGCAAGUCGAGCGGAUGAAGGGAGCUUGCUCCUGGAUUCAGCGGCGGACGGGUGAGUAAUGCCUAGGAAUCUGCCUGGUAGUGGGGGAUAACGUCCGGAAACGGGCGCUAAUACCGCAUACGUCCUGAGGGAGAAAGUGGGGGAUCUUCGGACCUCACGCUAUCAGAUGAGCCUAGGUCGGAUUAGCUAGUUGGUGGGGUAAAGGCCUACCAAGGCGACGAUCCGUAACUGGUCUGAGAGGAUGAUCAGCCACACUGGAACUGAGACACGGUCCAGACUCCUACGGGAGGCAGCAGUGGGGAAUAUUGGACAAUGGGCGAAAGCCUGAUGCAGCCAUGCCGCGUGUGUGAAGAAGGUCUUCGGAUUGUAAAGCACUUUAAGUUGGGAGGAAGGGCAGUAAGUUAAUACCUUGCUGUUUUGACGGUACCAACAGAAUAAGCACCGGCUAACUUCGUG
rnacentral:rRNA from 1 species